GCGCUGGCGUAGCUGGACGUGUGUGUGUUGUGCUUCUUGUUUCAUGCUAAUUACCACAUGGAGGUGGAACCCCUGUAGCUGACCAGAAAGGCCAGGACUGUCAGAUGCCAUACAUGAAUUGGUUCAAGGUCUUCAAACAGAGCUGACCCAGCAGAAGGCCUGUGGUGGCAUACUGUAAUCAAGUGUGCCACUCCCACGGGAUUAUUACAUUGGCCUUUUGCAUUCAUGCCUGAAUGCUGUCCAGGGCAUCUCACAGGCACCAGCUGCGUGACGAUGCCCUACCCCACGGAUUGUCUUAUGCCAACAGCGUGCUCCCGUAGGGAACAAUGGACACUAGAAGAUGGACUGUGGACAUGCUAAGGAAUUCUUCAGUAGCUUCAUGGUGCACAGGAGAAGAAACAGCAGACCUGGACGAAGUAAACAAACGGCCCUUAUCAGGGCCACCAUAUGUCUGCCACAAUGGCUAGCGUUCUGCUGAUAGAACAAACCCUGAUGGUGAUAGAAGAUCACUGAACUAACCAUAACUCAAGCACGAUGGCUACAACAGUGCUGAUAGAAAGCAAUCAUUGCAGUUGCAAAUUCUAUACAUUUCGUUAAGCACUAUAUUUUUGAUGACAGUAAUAUUUAGAGUUGAAGGAGUCAUGUUCUGCCACUUUUUGGAUGGUCAACGUAUGCAUCACAGAACAUAUUGCUAAGGUGAACAUUAUGUGGAACGGACUAUAACUCCUGUUAUUCAUUCGCACAGAAAAUAUUAAGCAGAAAAUGUCGAGGCUGUUGCGAGAGACCUGUACUAUGUCUGUUCUAUGUCUUUUGCAAAAGCUAUCACCGUUUUUCGACAAAAGUGACGUGGAGAAUGUACUGGAUGCCUCCAUUUUUCCCCUUUCUCUCCGUACUAUACAGGUAGUUCUUUUUGUGUAGUAUGUGUACUGUAUUGCUGCCUUAGCUCACAGUUGGAAAAAUAAGUAUGGAAAAUCAAAGAGAAAGAGCUAGCUGGCAUAUUCACAGUGGGUUAUGGCUUCGGGUUUGCUAUGUUGUGUUUAAUGAGAAGUGCAGAAAUUUGGGCCAGUUGGUACAUAACUGCAAAAGGGAAUAAGAGCAUACAGACGGGACAAUGGAGAAACAGAGCUGCUUACAACUAAACUAUAAUGAUAGGAAACCCGACGCAGUCAUGUGCGCAGGUGCAUUGGUAUCCCACCAUGUCAAAACAACAAAUACAGUGCUAGACAAUUGUUAGAGAACACGUUCCGGCGCAUUCCUUCCUUAGAGUGGCAGUGAAUGGGACCGUACAGACUUAGACAUGUGCGUAUAGGUAGCCAAGUCACCUGUAUGCAAGUCCGUACGGUACACCCCCCCCCCCC